AGAAUCAACGCUGGCGGCGUGCCUCAGACAUGCAAGUCGAACGAUUAAAGCUCCCUUCGGGGAGUGCAUAAAGUGGCGCACGGGUGAGUAACACGUAAGUAAUCUACCCUCGAGUGGGGAAUAACAUCGGGAAACCGAUGCUAAUACCGCAUAAUGCAGCGGCACCGCAAGGUGACAGUUGUUAAAGAUUUAUUGCUUGAGGAGGAGCUUGCGGCAGAUUAGCUUGUUGGUAAGGUAACGGCUUACCAAGGCUACGAUCUGUAUCCGGUCUAAGAGGACGGUCGGACACACUGACACUGAAUAACGGGUCAGACUCCUACGGGAGGCAGCAGUCGGGAAUUUUGGGCAAUGGGGGAAACCUGACCCAGCAACGCCGCGUGAAGGAUGAAGUAUUUCGGUAUGGUAAACUUCGAAAGAAUAGGAAGAAUUAAUGACGGUACUAUUUAUAAGGUCGCUAAUACGUAGCCAGCAGCCGAC
rnacentral:rRNA from 1 species